rfam:Brachypodium distachyon strain Bd21 chromosome 5, whole genome shotgun sequence.
CAGGUACUCCCUCAGUCCAACAAAAGAUGUCUCAAGUUUGUCAAAAUUUGGAUGUAUCUAGACAUAGCUUAGUGUAUAGAUGCAUUCAAAUUUAGUCAAAGUUGAGACAUCCUUUGUUGGACGGAGGAAGUACUUG